GGUUAAGCGACUAAGCGUACACGGUGGAUGCCCUGGCAGUCAGAGGCGAUGAAGGACGUGCUAAUCUGCGAUAAGCGUCGGUAAGGUGAUAUGAACCGUUAUAACCGGCGAUUUCCGAAUGGGGAAACCCAGUGUGUUUCGACACACUAUCAUUAACUGAAUCCAUAGGUUAAUGAGGCGAACCGGGGGAACUGAAACAUCUAAGUACCCCGAGGAAAAGAAAUCAACCGAGAUUCCCCCAGUAGCGGCGAGCGAACGGGGAGCAGCCCAGAGCCUGAAUCAGUGUGUGUGUUAGUGGAAGCGUCUGGAAAGGCGCGCGAUACAGGGUGACAGCCCCGUACACAAAAAUGCACAUGCUGUGAGCUCGAUGAGUAGGGCGGGACACGUGGUAUCCUGUCUGAAUAUGGGGGGACCAUCCUCCAAGGCUAAAUACUCCUGACUGACCGAUAGUGAACCAGUACCGUGAGGGAAAGGCGAAAAGAACCCCGGCGAGGGGAGUGAAAAAGAACCUGAAACCGUGUACGUACAAGCAGUGGGAGCACAGAGCAAUCUGUGUGACUGCGUACCUUUUGUAUAAUGGGUCAGCGACUUAUAUUCUGUAGCAAGGUUAACCGAAUAGGGGAGCCGAAGGGAAACCGAGUCUUAACUGGGCGUUAAGUUGCAGGGUAUAGACCCGAAACCCGGUGAUCUAGCCAUGGGCAGGUUGAAGGUUGGGUAACACUAACUGGAGGACCGAACCGACUAAUGUUGAAAAAUUAGCGGAUGACUUGUGGCUGGGGGUGAAAGGCCAAUCAAACCGGGAGAUAGCUGGUUCUCCCCGAAAGCUAUUUAGGUAGCGCCUCGUGAAUUCAUCUCCGGGGGUAGAGCACUGUUUCGGCAAGGGGGUCAUCCCGACUUACCAACCCGAUGCAAACUGCGAAUACCGGAGAAUGUUAUCACGGGAGACACACGGCGGGUGCUAACGUCCGUCGUGAAGAGGGAAACAACCCAGACCGCCAGCUAAGGUCCCAAAGUCAUGGUUAAGUGGGAAACGAUGUGGGAAGGCCCAGACAGCCAGGAUGUUGGCUUAGAAGCAGCCAUCAUUUAAAGAAAGCGUAAUAGCUCACUGGUCGAGUCGGCCUGCGCGGAAGAUGUAACGGGGCUAAACCAUGCACCGAAGCUGCGGCAGCGACGCUUAUGCGUUGUUGGGUAGGGGAGCGUUCUGUAAGCCUGCGAAGGUGUGCUGUGAGGCAUGCUGGAGGUAUCAG
rnacentral:rRNA from 1 species